rnacentral:rRNA from 1 species
ACGUAGGGUGCAAGCGUUAAUCGGAAUUACUGGGCGUAAAGCGUGCGCAGGCGGUUAUAUAAGUCAGAUGUGAAAUCCCCGGGCUCAACCUGGGAACUGCAUUUGAGACUGUAUAGCUAGAGUACGGUAGAGGGGGAUGGAAUUCCGCGUGUAGCAGUGAAAUGCGUAGAUAUGCGGAGGAACACCGAUGGCGAAGGCAAUCCCCUGGACCUGUACUGACGCUCAUGCACGAAAGCGUGGGGAGCAAACAGGAUUAGAUACCCUGGUAGUCCACGCCCUAAACGAUGUCAACUAGCUGUUGGGGCCUUCGGGCCUUAGUAGCGCAGCUAACGCGUGAAGUUGACCGCCUGGGGAGUACGGUCGCAAGAUUA